UGUUUUGAUAUGUCAUAUAUCUAUUCGUAUUCUAAAUCUGUUCCAUAUUUUAUUUGUAUUUUGUAUUGAUAUUAUUUGCAGUCAGAUUAAGCCGUUUAGUACGAAUUUAUUAAUUGAUACGCAUAUCAAAAUCAGCGUAAAUUAGGACAAUGGUAACAGGACCUUCUGAACAUGGAAUACAAGCUGAUGUUAUAUUCGUCAUUGAAGGAACGGCUGUUAAUGGCGCAUACCUUAAUGAUCUUAAAACAAAUUACGUAAUUCCAACACUAGAAUAUUUUAGUCAAAGUGGCAUAGAAGAUAGGGAAUAUGUUUCUGAAAGCAGCACCACAUUAUAUGGAAUAGUUGUUUAUCAUGCUGCCGAUUGUUUACCAUCACCUUGUACAGAGACUCUUGGACCUUACUCUAACCCUCACAAAUUACUGAUGGUUUUAGAUAAACUGGAGAUGGUGGGUGGAAAAGGAGAGUCUUAUGCAAACAUCGGUGAAGGCCUUGCGACAGGAUUACAAUGUUUUGAAGAUUUACAACAGAGACGAGAACCAAACACAGCAUCGCAGAAACAUUGUAUCUUAAUAUGUAAUUCACCUCCAUAUCAAACUAUGAUUCAAGAAUCUUUCAAGUUUGCUGGUAAUACUAUUGAACAAAUAGCCGGUAUUUAUCAAGAGAGAAACAUUAACAUCUCUAUAUUAUCACCGAGAAAGAUUCCGGCAUUAUACAAGCUAUUUGAGAAAGCUGGUGGUGAUUUGCAAUCAUCGCAAACAAAGAACUAUGCUAAAGAUCCGCGGCACUUGGUGCUUCUGCGAAAUUACAACUUAAAAGAACGACCUAUCAGUCCGCAAAUAGGUGGUAACGUUCACAACACUGCAGCUACUACGGCGCAAAUUCCAUUGAGUCCGUUGCAGAGCAAUGAUAGCCCUAACACUAAUCAAGUACAGCAGAAUAUUGCUCCACCGAAUCAGCAACAAGGCCCACCUUUCAGAAAUCAAGCGCCUCAAAAUAUCGCCUCCGUACAUCAGACCGUAACGCCGUCUAUGGCAGCACCGAUGAAUGCCGCACGACCACCUUAUAAUCCUCAGAUUAUAGCUGCACCACCAAAUUAUCAUCCAACGGGAGUGAACAUAGCAACGAGACCCAGGUGGAUGCGACCAUUUAUAGCACCGGGUGCGACUGCGCCUGCAAAUACACAAGGUAGCGCAUUAAUAGCGCAACUAACGCAGCCGCCUUCAUCGUUAGGACUUAAUGCAACUGCAUUUGGCCAAAGAUUAGAUGUAGCUGGUAAUAAUGUUAUGGCGACUAAUCCGCAACAACAGCAGCAACAGCAACUUACACAGCAGCAGCAACAGCUGCGAUUGACAAUGUUACAGCAAAAUGCCCAACAACAAGCCUCCAUGUCUAUGGCUGCUCAACCGAACCACAGCCAGUCUGGAUCUCAACUUACUGUAUCAUGUAUUAGCCAGUCUGUACCCACACAAGUGCCACAGACUGUCACAGCAUCGCAACAAGCGCCAGUUUCAGUGUCUUCUAUUACGCAACAGAUCACUCAUUCUCAAACACAAGGAAACGUAUCCACUGGUAACGUGCAACUUCAACAACUUGUACCACGCGACAGGACACAUAUCUGGCAAGGUGUUGUGGAAUGGAUCGAAAAGGCGAAAACAGAUGCUGCAAAACAAACAAGACAUGUACCAUGUCAAAUAUCACUUAAUCCGAAAGAAGGGGAUUCGGGAGAAUUAAAAGCAGAUACAUGGCCGCAAAAAUUGCUGAUGCAAUUGAUGCCGAAAACACUGAUAGGAAAUAUCGGUAAUACUUUUCUAAAGAAUUCUAAAUCCGUUCUCUUUCAUCCAACACCAUGUGAAGCAUUGGAGUCCCUGACAAAAAUGAUGACCAAUGGAUUCGCUGGUUGCGUUCAUUUCACCUCUAAUACAAAUGGUCCCCCUUGCGACAUAAAAGUGCUUAUACUUUUGUACACUACAGAGAAAAAGGCGUAUCUAGGUUUCAUUCCGAAUGACCAAACUGCUUUCGUGGACCGUCUUCGUAAAGUAAUACAACAGCAGAAAACAAGUCACGCUACUAUAAAGCAGGGACAACCUAAUGCUGGACCAGGAAAUACAAUUCCCACACCGAUGCCUACUGCAGGUACACAAGGAGGUAUCUUGAUGUCACAAACGAAUACUAUGGCGAUGGGCGGUGGCCAAAUAACGCAAAACGUCGUAUCUUCUAAUGCUCCUCCACAAACUUUAACUUCAUCCAGUGGUCCACAGGCUCAAAUAAAUAUGCAGAAUAGCGGAAUUAGCGGACCUCAAUCGAACACUGGCGCUGGAGGCAUGAUCGGUCAACAACGGCCACAGUUUGAUGAUAUAGAAAUGGCAAGGCAUCAAAAUUUGCUAAAGAUUCAACAUUUAAGACAAACAUUAGAAGCUGCACAGCAACAAGAGGCGCAGUACAAAUCUCAAUUAGAAGUGAACCAAUUAUCAUAUAGAUUCAGCAAAAUCUGGAAUUGGCCCAGCAACAAGAAAUGCAAUACAAGCAACAACUCGAGGCUCAACAAGCGCAGAGAGGUCUUAAUCAGGCAGCAAUGUCCAACCAACAAGCAAAUACUCAAAGAUUAAUGCGUCCUGUGUCCACUAACAACCUUGGUCUCAGACACUUAUUACAACAGCCACAACCUCAAUAUAGACAGUUCGGAGUGCAACAGCAGCAAAUGGUGGGUCCGAGAGGACAAAUAGCAACGAGACCAAUCGCGCCUGGCAAUACACAAAAUCAGCAGUUUGACGACGUAACGAAUUAUGACUUUCUUGGUUGAAUGUCGGGGAAGGUUGGAUAUUUCAUUUUCUAUUUAAA
rnacentral:misc_RNA from 1 species